rnacentral:lncRNA from 1 species
CCAAUGAAUACUUCCCAUAGCCAAGAUUUUUGUCUUAGAUUGGAAACAAAGGAAAAGAAAAUGAGACCUUUGGAGUGGAGGAGGAGAACAGAGGAAGAGUUCGCCCUCUGAAAAAUCUAACUUCAGGAAAGCUAAAAUUAAUGUUUCACUCAUCAAGCAACAAAGAAUUAAGGAAAUUGUAAUAGUCAAUGAAGAGUAGAGACUGGGAGGUGAGAUCUGGCCAGCUGGAUGCUGAGAACAUGAGGAUGUGAGUACCCAAAGAGUUCUGGAUAGAGACCUGACCAGAAAAUUGGACUUGAGAUGCUGCCUUUCCACAAAUGUUGCAACCCUGGGAUACUGGCACUGGAAGAAACUCUAGAAAUUACCUGGACGUAGUCCUUCAUUUUAUGGAAAUGGAGGCUCAGAGAAAUAAACUGAAUUGGUCAAAGACACACAGACAAUUUUUGGAAGAGCUGGUCCUAGAACUUGGGUUACUUCUAUGAUGAUAUGAUUUCUAGUUUUCCUAAGUUUCUCCUUGGGUAGGUGUACCUGGGUUUUCAGAGACAUGAUGAAUGAAAUCAUUAAAAAA